CACGCCGUAAACGAUGAAUGCUAGGUGUGAGCGCGCAAGCGUUCGUGCCGCAGCUAACGCAAUAAGCAUUCCACCUGGGGAGUACGGCCGCAAGGUUGAAACUCAAAGGAAUUGACGGGAGCCCGCACAAGCAGUGGAGUAUGUGGAUUAAUUCGACGCAACGCGAAGAACCUUACCAGGUCUUGACAUCCUGAGAACCUGUCGUAAUGGACGGGGUGCCCCUUCGGGGGAAUUCAGAGACAGGUGG
rnacentral:rRNA from 1 species